GAUCACCUCCCUUGACCUACUGGCAAUGGUCUUUCUAUUUGUUUAUAUCUCUUCUCAACAUUACUGCACAUGCACUUUUGGUAGCCACCUGUGGUAAUUCUGCAAGCUGAAAUCAGCUGUUACAUAGUACCUGGCCUAAAGACAUGGUUUGAGGAUUUUCCUAGUGUUCAGACUAACAUAUGCACUGGGAGGAAGAAGGAGAGGAGGGGAAAGUAGCUGUUUUGUCCAAACUAAUAUUUAAUGCAAUUUUUUCUUGGGCUUUCUUUGUCUCUAAUUCCAUGUCUAGUAGAUGACAAAUGAUGGGCAGUGAUUAUUUCAUCUGGAUAAUCCAUGGAUAAGCAUUUAGCUUGUGGAACUUUAUGCACUGAAGAAAAUAAAUUAAUCAAGAUGCUCUGAAAUCAGUUCUUCCACUGAAGAUUCCAGCUUCCGCUCCCCAUCAAUAAUCCAAGGAGUCUGAGAUGAAUUCUGAUAAAACCAUCCAACAAAGCAAUCUAAAAUAGAACUGCGUGUUUGGAAAAGGCUAAAAGACACUGGAUAUCUUGGAUUCAUGAAAAUGUAUAUCUAACUGUCUAAUCAGUAAUUAAAAGUAAGAAACAGGUAUGUAUAGAACAUCAACAUUCACUUUUGCAUUUUUCUUUUCAUUUUACAUUUUCCUUUAUUCAGGAUUUGUACCAUCCUUUUAAACAUAGUAUGCUGGAUUUAAAUUGCAGGUUUGGGUUUUUUUUAAUAAUCUGUUUGCAUAUGUUUAGAUAAACGGUUGUUUAUACACAGGACUGUGAGAAGGGUAGAUACUCUUGCAGGCAGGUGAUAAAAAAGUUGAAUUGUCUCAACUCAGGGACACCAAGUGUUGUUGCAUUACCCGUCUCACCCACUUAUUUCAGAUGCUAUCUUGGUUUGGAGGUGGGUAACUGGAAAGAGCUAAGCUUUGCAAAAUUUAACCUUUAUUAAUCCCAUUAAGAUUGGCAGUUUUGGGUGGAAUAAUAUGCAGAUAAAUCCAGACGGUGAAAACGUCUGAAUCCAAAUCAAAA